UACGUAGGGAGCAAGCGUUGUUCGGAUUUACUGGGCGUAAAGGGCGCGUAGGCGGCGCGGUAAGUCACUUGUGAAAUCUCUGAGCUUAACUCAGAACGGCCAAGUGAUACUGCAGUGCUAGAGUGCAGAAGGGGCAAUCGGAAUUCCUGGUGUAGCGGUGAAAUGCGCAGAUAUCAGGAGGAACACCGGUGGCGAAGGCGGAUCUCUGGGCCUUACCUGACGCUGAGGCGCGAAAGCUAGGGGAGCGAACAGG
rnacentral:rRNA from 1 species